UUGCCUGUUUUGAUUGGAGAAGAAACAGUGGUAAGAGAAGAGACUGAACCUUAACACAUAAUCCAUUUGAGCAGAGCUCUCAAACCAGGAAAGCAACUUAUGGGGAGCUGCCAUUGUUCCAUAAUGCAUCUCCCAUGGGAAGCCAUGUGCAGAGGUUACACUGCUGUAUGCCAUCCCACAGUCAGCCCUCCACCAGCUCUGCUUAGUAGGAUCACAACAGGUGUGGUGACCAGCUGGUGAAGAAGGCGACAGAGUUAAAUCAGCAGAGAGCUAUCUAUCACGCAAGAGUGCCUGAACCCAGAAUUCAGCUCAAUGGGAUCUCUCCUUAAGGCCACUUUGCAGUUCCUACACAAAUCAGUGAAACCCAAAGAACCUUGAUAAAAAUGGUGCAUGACCUGCAACACAGACACAAUAAAAGAACAAUAAUAUAGUGAAAAAAAAAAUUAGGAAAUACCCAGUAAUGUAAGUCAACUUUUACCUUUUGCAAACCAGGGCUGCAUUCAAAAUCUUUUUGACUUGGAUGCACUGAAGAAUAUACAGUAAUAUGUUUCAGAAUAAUUUUCUGACUCCAUGAAGGUUUAUAUGCAUAUUAUUUAGCAAAAGCUUUUUCUUGAGUCCAUAGCCACAGCAAUAACAACUCUAUGAGUCCUUUAUUUUAUUUCCAAGAUGUAAGUCUCAACUUACUGCUCUUUGAUACUUGCAUGACUUUUUGUCUGGAUCACUGCAAUUCACAAUCCAAGACUCUCUUCUAAAUGUUGAGGUAUAGCCCAUGUUCUGAGAAGCAUCACUCAUGGUAAGCACAUACCCUAUAUCCGCCCUGGCACUUUCUUUCACUGAUAUGUAAAGACUCAGAUAGUCUUAGCCUUCUCUUUCUGUAUAGUCUUUGGUAGCCUUUAAAUUUUAAACCCCUUCUAGCAUAAAGUUUUGUUGUUUUCUGGUGUUUUGUUUUUUUUUUCCAGAGCAAUGGACAGAGCAGCAAUAUUUGUCUGUUAAAUGACACUUGCAAAGACUGCUACUGCCUCAGAAAAAGACAGCACCAUUUCUGACAUGGUUUAAGAGGACAAGGAUGCGCUGAGACCCAAAGACUGCCCAUCCACUGCUCCAUUCCCAACAGCGUUUGCACUAGUGAGAUCCUCAUGAAAAAGGUAUAAUAGCUCCAGGACAAACACACAGAGCUUUUCCUCUCUUAGAGUCCAACAUCUGCCCAACAGCUUUCUGCUGUUAUCUGACAGAGGUUAGAUCUGUGCCUCCCUGCCUAAAUGUCUUUCACUCACAUUGUUUCACAGAGUCACAGAAUAUUCCGAGUUGGAAGUGACCCACAAGGAUCAUUAAGUCCAACCCUGAAGUGAAUAGCCCAUACAAGGAUCAAACCCUGGCAUUAUUAGCACCAUGCUCUAACCAACUGAGCUGAUCUCAGUUGGUCACUGUGUAUGUUGUAAGCUUUCUAAAUUAUUACAAUAGUUCAUUUUUCCACUCCAGAAAUAAAAUUCACCCUAUCAGCCUUCAGGGAUAACAAGAAAAGCUCAUUCAUGAGGUUAGAUUUUACUUCCAGUCAAGUAUUCCCCUCAUAUUAGGAGAGCUAAAGGGUUGUGUUGGCAUCACAAUUUUUGUUUUCUGAACAUAGCCUUCCUCUGCUAAGAAGCAUUUUCCUGUUCAGUCUUUGAGAGCUACCAAGCCGUAUGUCUUCCAGUAAAUCUUGGUAUUAAAAUGAAAAACCUGCCUGUAAACAUGGGCAAAAUAAAGCAUUCCAAAUUCCAACCGAUUUCUCUUACUACCAGGUAUACCCAAAGAGGAUGAAUGUGAAUACUUCUCCCUUCCUAUUUUUCAUUGAGAUUUUACCUGCAGCUUGUGCACUUGUUGGGUCUCCCAGUCCAGAGACCCAUUGAUAUACAGGAUGCCUGUCCUCGGCUCAAUGUCAAUAAUUCCAGCUUUUUCACCAGAUGUUCUGAAACUCACAGCAGGUGGCUCAAGUUUGAACUACAAUGGAAAAAAAAAAAAACAAAUCAAAAACAGAGGGAAAAAUUAUCAUUCUUUUCAGCAUUUUCACCAUAAUAAAAAUAAUUUCAUGCUUUUGUGACUUUUAAAAUCUAUUGCCGGGAAUGUGUUUGGCUGGGAGAAUGAUAUUCCAAGAGUCUGCUCAAACAAGUCUGCUCUUUUCUGAUCCUCAGCAGAGGAGUUUUCACAUUGUUUCCUGAAUGCUGCAAGAAAUCCCGACUUCAGUUUGUUUCCAAAGCAAAUGUCUGCUUAGGACAGGCUUUGUCUGAGCAUGGGAAUGGAAAAAAAUGACACACAUCCUCCAUUUGCCUGGGAGCUGGAUCUGUCCUUCUGUGGUUAUGGCUUUGGAGGAAAACCUCAGAGUCAAAGGAAAAUGAUGACACAAGUUACAUGGAAAGAAAUUCUCCAGGAAUGUUGAUUUUAUUAAUCCCUGUCUUAGGAUAUCCUCUUAAAUAUGUGUUUGAGAGGGGGUUGUCUCCUGCUCUUUGCAUGUAGCCUCUUGAAUUCCCAGAGAGAGGAAUUAAAAAUUAAUUUUGGAUCCCCUUGAGGGACUGUUCUUCCCACCAGCACAGAGACAGCCCUUCACAUGUGGUGUCUGUGUGCAGGCUGUGGGGUGCUUGACCAGAGUGGACAACACGAGACGCUUGGUUACCUGGUGAAGGAUGCGUGGACCUCCUCCUUCCUGCACGGAGAAGUCCAUGUCCUUCAGAGGCCCAGUUACACUCAGGCCCUCCAGACCAAGCCACAUGGCCUGUGAGAGAGAGAGGGAGAGAGGGAUGGAGGAAAGCACGUGCGGGAUGUCUGCUGCCGCCACACACAAACAGCAGCUCCCCACCCCUGAGCCUCCUUGAGCUCUUCUGCUACAGUACAAGGGCAGAGACUCUUCCAGGCUUGCCCUGAACAUCUCUUUAGCAUACAUAAUUUUUAAAAGCAGUGAGAUUUAUUAAUUAAUUAGAGAACAAAGGCUUGUGCCCUGCCCUUUUCUGGCCACUACAUAAUUAAAUGAGAUUGGAUCUACCUUCAAGAGCAAACAGAAGAAGAAAAUAGAUUAAAGUAGACUAAGAGCAAAAGGGAAUUCAUAAAAUCAUUGCUGGAUCUCCCCUGUGUCCCCAGCAGAACCAUCCAUGACUUAUCCAAGAACCACAAAGCCCUGUGAAAAGAAGUGUGUCUGGAAAUCAAACAUCACACCUGGGGAUGAGAAGGAGCUGUGGCUGCACCCCUUGUAAUUUCCCCAGUAAAUCAAAUCUUUUAGGUAUGGGAAUAAGGCGGCCCUCUCUGGGUUCCUACAGCAUCCUCCUCACACCACAGCCAUCUGGGCAAGCCACUUGAGCCUGUGCCUUCACAUCAAUUGCAUGUGAAUGCAAGCCACAGAGAGAGCAAGUGUGACCUUCAGAUCUUUGGCUUUUACCUGCUGGCAAAUCUGUCACACAAAUCUGUCUCAGCCUCUGUCCUCCUAAGGGCUAGCAAUGUCCUAACAUCAUGGGUUUUUACCGCCAAAUUUUUAUGAGUUUUUUAACCUCACACUCCCCAGUGCCCAAAGACCUCCACACUCCUGCCCUAACAUUUCAGGGCUGUUCUUGCUUUCAAACAAAAGAAACAAAGCAAAAUUGAGCCUCUCAGGGCAGGCUGUGCACACAAGACAAUUCACACUAUGGUUCAGAUAAUCAACCUGUUUCUUCAAAGGAAAGACCAAGAUUCCCCAAUUCCCCUGUCUUCACCACCUAUCUAGACAACACUGAGUGUCUGCCUGUCAGAAUAAGGGCUCCAUUAUUUGGCUGAACAAGUAAAGUUUCUUUUCUUCAAUAGUAAAAAUUAAUUUAUUUUGCUUUACAGACUUAGAGUACCAUUGCCACCCUGUCCAUCACACCACAGAUUUGAGUGUGUGUUCUCUGCUGCCUGACUUUUCCUCUGGAUUUGAUCCUAUUGCUGCUGGGACAGCUAUUCAGUUUCUCACAGAAAAGCAGUCUGCAUAUUACCAAGGGAAAACUUAAUUCUGCCUAUGACAAAAACACAGCAAAGUUCAGCACAAUUCACCCUAAAGCACUGCUCUGUGCGUGUAUGUCACAAGUUGUGUUUCAAUAAUUCCAUAUUGUUCUUAAUAAUAGCCACAGAUGCCAUCCCACUUGCCUAUAAGGCUUUGUGACUCCUUUUGAAAAUGGGAAAAGCAGAGAGCUGGGGAAGGAGAGGGAAGGAUGGUAGUGAAUAAUAGUGUGAGCAGGAGAAUAUCAACAAAUGCAAUCUUAUAGUUAUGCAUCCAGGAAAAUGCACUUUGCAGCUACCUUUUUAAUAUUUUUGCAAAAUGCUGACUGCUGGCUUCGCCAAGGACCAGAUAUCAGGACCCUGAGCCUGACCUGCUACAGCUAUUCCCAUGUCACAGAGGCUGGCACAGCCUGGCUCCUGCAGGCUGCUCCUGGGUCUCUUUUAUGGACAGAUUUUGCUUUAUCAUGUUCCCUGCUAUGGAGGAACAAAGGCUGAUGCUAUAAAACUCAACAGGUUCAAAGUGCAGCCUGUGAAACAAGUAAGCGAUAUCACUUCUGUUGAUUAAAAUUACUUUAUGUGGACCAUAAAUAUUUCCAAACAUAUUUCUACCACAUGAAUCACUGUUCAGGAGCUUGAAAGGGAAAGAGGCUUUACCUCUUGGUCCAUAUGCAUUGGUAUAUCUUCUGAAGAUGGCUAUAAGGCUUGCAGAUUGGCUUCAUGGAGGGGCCAGCACUGCCACAAGGAGCAGCUUGUGAAAUGGGAAGGGAAAAGGAGGUGCUCAUGAAGCACCCCUCAAGGUCCCCAUAUUCUGAGGCAUUUUUUUUAUUAAACUUGAAUUUCAUGCAUUUUUUCAAUAUUUUCUGUUAAUUUUCAUUGUGAAGUAGAAGUCACCACUGCUGUAACCUUUACAAACAUCAGUAAAUCUAUUGCAUUUAAUACAUAAGGUACAUAAAGAACAUAAUUAAUACAUUUCAGUUCCAGAAAAUCCUCUGAAAUGGGAUUCACAGGAAUCAAAUAAUAAGGAUACAAAAUUAACAUGCACAGUUUAAGCUAUGAGGCAUUAUAGGUCUUAAAAUACAUUUAAUAUGUCAGCACAUGUAUGGAUUAUAAUGCAGAACUCAUGAUACUGAUGUUUCCACUCUUUGGUGAUUUGUUGCAGUAUGUUUAAAUCUUUUCUAGCACAAAAUUCAUGUUUUGGAAACAGUGAUAUCUAAAGAGGAAGUAGAAGAGGGAAAACGAGUAAAUUGGUGCUUUCUAGUCUUUUUGAAGUUUUUAUUCCCCCAUUGACUGAGAUGUGUUCUUGACUUGCUGCGGGGGCCACACACCUGUGCUGGGGACACACCCAGAGUUACAGCACCAGGGCUGCCUGACCUGCGGGCUGGCACACCCAUGGAUUAGAGCUCAGAGGCUCCAGGCAACCUUUGCCAUUUGCUCACAGAUAAACAAAGGAAAACCUGUAACUCACCGAGUGAAGGAGAAGCAGAAACUGAAGUCCACACAGCUUAAGCAUACUGGAAUAUGCUUUGCUUCAGCUCCUGCAAAGAAAUGACAGUCACUUUAGCCCCACAGAGCUGGCCCAGGCUGUUUGCACACCAAGGCUGAGGUUUCCUGAGGCUGCAAGGAGAGAGCUGAGGAGUCGGUCCCCAAGGAGCAGCUGCAGAUCUGCUCAGGACAGACGAGAGCACUGGUACCCCUGGGCUGCCAAGGAAGGCUGUGCCCAUCAGGUUCUGCCUAAUGGUUCAAGAGAGGCAAUAUGUGAGAUUCCCAAAGAGCUCUCGAAGAUUGAACCCAGCACCAAAAAGCCGUGCAACCACGUUGUUUACAAUGAGUCUGUACUGAGAAGCCACUUCCAUUUCUGCUUUACUGAAAGCAAUGAGAUGUUCACAGGAAAUACUAUAACCACAGCACAAAAGUCUUGCAGAGAAUGUCAUGAGGUGUCUGUCUUCUAGUUCCAAAAAUUCAAAUUCAAAAAUUUCCUGCAGAUUGCAGAGGCAAAGGAAGCCUAAGGUGUCUGCACUACAUAGCUACUGGAAACAAAAUUUCCAAGUCCAAGGAGCACUCUCUGCCUCAAAUUUCAAAGAAAUGUUGAGCACACACGACCACAGUUUAUGUUACAUCCUCCUGAAAAUUAGAUGGCUUUUGCAAAAUGCUAUCCUGCUUACUCACGGCCUCCAGAUUUUUACAAUGAGGAUGGGGCCAGUUCUGGAAGGAGGUGAAGGUGGCAUAUAGUGCUGCCAUCUUCAGUGGUGCUUCAUGUUACAUGGCUCACACCUACAGAAAUCCUUCCACAGAUCUGCCCCAAGGAGGCCCCCAGUGGGGAGAACACAGUGUGGAGGCACAGCUCCCUCCAGAUGCCAUCCUGCUUGUGCUUCCCAUCACCCCAUUUCCCCCCUUCUUUUUUUUCCUCAAUGGCUGAACAAAAAGGGGACCUGUAAAUACAGAAACUGCUACCCACACUGCUGUUCUUUUGAGCACCCAUUCUAGGACUUGCCACAGGAGUUUAUCUUCCAAAUCCCAUUCUGAGCUGCGUUAUACUGUGUGUGCAAUUACAGCCUUUGAAAUACUGGGCUCUUUCCUUGGAUAACUGUGUGAGUACUGGAAAAUAAUAUGAUGCACUUUUGAAACCAGAAGUGAUCAGAAAAAUCAUUAAAUUUGUCAGAAGACAAGGGCUGAAAUUGAGCUCCCUGUAGAUGCUUGGCUGUGAUGCCUCCUUAGUGGGUCCUUCACAGACCUCCUGGAGCCAGAGGAGGUGGCACAGGCAGGGCAGAGAGAAGGAGAAUACCCCUUGAACCUCAAACCAAAACUGUUGCUGAUAUUCCGGUUACACAGUCAAUGAAAAUUCUUUCUGUUCCUCUGCCUAUACAACCCCUCCCCUCCCCUCCUGCCACCCUCUCCUGAAUAUAUUGGCCUGUUCCUGCUGCACUUAGUAGCCAUGUGGGAACUUCAAGAAAUGAAUUCCUUAUUAAUUUGUGGCAGAAGGUGGGACAGAGUGCCCGAGGUGUUCCCUGUCCAUCCUGUAAGGCAGCAGUCUGUGCCCAGGGCUCCCUGCAGGGUUUUGUCUGUCCCUCUGGAGGAGGCAUGGCUGGAAGUGCCCCUUUGACAGCCAGUGGUGGAGGAACACCAGGGAGCUCAAAGUAUUGGGGGAGGCCAUGAAAACAGGGAGAAAACAGUAUGGGGUGGUCUGGGGUAUCAUGGUCUGGAUUCAGGGAAAAAAGAAGCAGCAAGGCCUACCGGGGGAAGAGAAUUUUUCAGGGGAAACAUCCCACUUUACUUUUGGGGACAGAAAAUGCUGUCAAAUUAAUUGCUAAAUGUGGCUGUGUCAUGGCCAGGUUCUUCUAUCCAGAUCCAACUACCAAAUGCAGCAGUGGAAAUUCAGCCAUUUCACAGUUUGCAUGACAACUGCCUUUGAUGUUCCCUUCUCUUUGAAUAUAAACAUCAUUUCCUUAUGUCAUAUCAUUUAUGGCGCCUUUUGCAAGUUUUGAUCAGUCCUUGAACAUUUCUUUUUGGGUGGAAACUGUUACCAAGUCUCAUGAGCCACCUCACUGCCAAGGACUGAAACCCCAAAAUCCAUACUCCUCUGUCACUCAGAACAGAGUUCCUGUAUAUAUAGGCUCAUUUAAAAGUUUUCAGUAACAGGCAGUUUCAGGAUUAGAAUAGCAUCAGCUUAACUAAAAGCAGCUUGAGAUCUGGAUUGAGGACUGGAGCCAUAUUUUCUCCUUCAUUUCUUAGCUUCAUCUCAGUGCUAUAUCCCUAAUAAUCUCUCACGCUUCCCAUGACUGAAGAGAAAUCUCUAGGAUAACCAUCAUACAAAUAUUCCAGUGACUUUCAAUAAUAAACAUUCGGAGAACAAAGAAUAUUCCCAGAGAUAAAAGAUCAGUAACAAUCACAAGUAUUUGGUUCCAUGGAAAAAAAUAUUAUUUUCUUUAGUUGAUUGAUUUCAGAUGUUCAAAUUCAGCAAAGAGAAAACAGAGGAAAUUGAUCCAAAUCAAAUAUAAACCAGACUAAGCCUUAGCACAGCAGUCAUCCAUUUUACAGGGACAGCUGAGUUCCUAACACUGCCUGAAAAUCCUCUAGCAGAACCCCCGCUUCAGCUUUUAAAAUCUUUCAGUGAAAUGUCAGUUAGAUCAUCCCUUACCUGUAACAUGAAAAGCUUAUUUUGCUCUAAAAAUGCUUCUUUCUUUCAGCUGUGUGAAUCACCUUUGCACAGGUUGGUGAUGUCUGUCUGUGCUUAUCCAGUUUAUAGUUCCUCAGACUUGCCCUCAGAGAUUCAGCAGCUCAAACAUUAACUGCAGGACAAUUAUUGAUUCUAAUGACUAGGUGUGGUAUGAAACAGCAGCCCUGUAAGGAAGCAAGGUAACUCCAAGGUAAUUCACAGUCUUCAAUAUUUUUUACAUCCUUUGUGAUUUUCUUUCUGACUUUUUUUUUCUGUCAGGCUGUGAGAAAGGAACAUGCAGGGCAUGGGUUGAAGGCACAGGGUAAAGAGAGCCUUUCUGUGGGAGAGAAGGUGGAGAGGAGAGGGCAUGGGCCUUGGGUGGAGAGCAGGUUUGCUACUUGCCUAGUCACAGGAAAAAUUCACAUUCAGAAGACAAGAAUUUGGACAUCAAGGUGGCUUGUUGUCACAGCAGAUCCUUUCAUGGGAAGGAACCAGACGAGUUAAAAUAAUUCAUCAGUCCUCAUAUUGGAAAGUUCAGAUUCUGUCUGAGCUCUGCUAAAAAUUUUAGGUAACUUUGGGCAAAUCAGUCUGUCUGCCCUUUUCCAGAUACUUAUAAUGGAUGCAAUAAUUUCUUUCCCUUUGUGCCGUCUUUCACGUCUGUUUCAUGUUUGCAGCCUUUCCAGGAAACUAGUCCCCACUAGUCUCUGCAUUACAACACCUGCAGUAAAGGGACUUGAAAUCAAUUGGGCUGUAAAGGACAAUAGUAAAACAAAUAAUCAAUAAAAUAUACUUGAAAAAUAAACUACUUUUUUUAAAUUGCAGUUCUUAAAAUGUUAUGCUUUUUUGUGUCUCAAUUUUUAAUAUAGUGCUUAUUUCAGAAGUUUUGGACAGGCUUAUUUUGUUGUCUUGAGAAAUGUUAUUUUUCAUCCAAGUUCUAACUUCUGCUUCCAAUUUCCUCAGUCUGUCAGAUUGCUCUAGGACACUGUUAGAUUAUUUGUGCAGUACAUUUUCUGAAUUAUGUAUCUAAAGAAAGAAGUGUUUAGAACUGAUUGCAUCUCUAAGGUGUACAGUUCUGGGAAGUUAGGCCUUCUAUUUGGGUUUCAGAUCUUUUCCCUUGAAAUCAGUGUUUGUUUCUCCAAGAAAAAACCUCUAGGCUAUGCUUUCAGCAUGCUUUAAAACACAAGUGUUCUCCAUUCACUCAUGCAUUCAGAAUGAUUCAGACUCCCUCAAAGCUGUCUGCUAGCAGUGAGUUAUCAUUAGAGCACAGUUCAAAAUCAGUUUUGAAUAAAGCAUUAAAACUCAUUGCUGUUGAUUUCUAAAUAAAUAUAAGGAGAGGAAAAUUAACUUUCUCGGAAAUAUGUUGAUUUUAAGUGACCUACAUGCAGAUUAACUGUGUACUAGUUGGACCUGAAUGAGCAGUACUUUCAACAAGAAGUAUUAACAGAGAGAUGAGACUUCACGCAGCAGAACCAAAUUCACAUCCACAAAUUCCUAAUGACAUUUUUAGUCCUCUUUCACAUGACAAGUGUAGAGUAACUCAAGUCAUGAUGUCAGAAGUGCAAUCCCUAUAAACCAGCAUUUGUCUUUCAAGUGCUAGUGUCUCUGCUUGGAAGUUUAAUUGCCAGGAAGUGCAGUGUAUUACCUGAAGUACAAAUACACAGAGGUAAGGUACCUAGCAUGCCUAAUUGAAUGUCCCCAUUAUUUAAAGUCAGAGGUGAGCCUGUCAUACCCAGUACCUUCCUCUGGCUGAAAAAGUUUCCCAGGCACAGAGCAACUGCUUACAGGUUGCAAUUGCACAGCAGAAAAAAAAAAAGUCUCCCAUGUCAAAUGUAUUACAAAGUCCAGAAGCACUUAAGGCUUUACAACAGUCAUAACAUGGUGCCACAGAUAAAAUCACAAGAAGAAACUCAGCAGUGAGACUGGGCCCUUGAGCCAGCUGUUUCUCUGAGUAAAUCCAAUGAAAAAAAGGCAAACGUCCAGGUGUUUAUUGUGUGAAUCAUUGUUCAACGAGUCAGUUUUUCCAGAAACAACUCUUCUCAUAUCAUUAGUCACAUCCUUUUUACCCUUCCCAUUUAUCAACUUUGUCAUUUCUCCCCUGCUCCUUUUUCAUUUUCUCUUUUUGUCUUUUUACUUUUACUCCUGGUUUCCACUCAGCUGACAUCUCUCCUUGUACCUCUUCCACUUCCCAAACUAGCUGCACCUGCCUGACCUCAGCUUCCUUCCCUUUCUGUUUGUUUAGAAAAUAUUUCUUUUAUGGAUCUAUUAGGGUAUGAUAAUUUCACAAUAUAAUUAAUGUGUGUCAACAUGAGAUAGUACCACUGGAGGAAAAAGAAGCAUGGAAAAGUAAUGCUGAAAACAAAUUUAAGUUUCUAUUGACCUAGUUCCUUCACUUCUCAUGUGGCAGAAUCACCUAUACCUGCAUCCUCCUUGACUGUAAAAAAUGCAAAUAAUGACCAGUCUCAGUUUCCAUAGCUAACACACUGUGGGACUUUCAGCAUCUGCUCAUUCACAUGGAUGCCCUCUGUACAUUGCUCAGUCACUCCACCCUUGCUGAUGAGCUGUGCCGCCGUAUUCUCCCAGAUGAGACUUCACAAUACUGCUGAGGAAAGGUUCCUACAGAAAUUAUCUCUCAAACAAUGUACCUCUUACCAGUGCACUUAUAAUGUAUUUUCAUGUUAUCUUUGUUGCUUUGAUAGUUGCACUGGCAUAAUUAUGGUUUUGUCUGUAUUUGCCUACUCUAUAUACUCAGUUUAGCUGUGUAACCUACUUAUAAUUGUCUGAACUUCUUUGAGAGACUGAGAACAGUGAUGAUCUCUGAUUUAGCAAAAAUUAGUUCUGAUUUAGUUUAUUUUUACCAACCUUCCUAAUACUACUUUUGUUUUGGGACAUAUGUUAUUCACUCUAUUUAUUGAGAGACCUAGUCAUUCCUGCUAAUGCUUUUCUUUGGUUUAUUUCUUAUGAAAUUCUUCUUACCACUAAUCUUAUUUUAUAGAAGUCUGCUUUUUCCAAGUUCACUGUGAUUUUUCUACUUUUCCCUCUUUUUCUUUGUGAGGACUGUGGAUUCUCAUCAUGCUAUAUAAUUACCAACACUGAUAUCAUUGCUCUCUCUUGUAUCCUGCACUUCAAAAUAAGGACGUGCAUCCCCAUCAACAUUUCACUUUUUUCCUGACAGUUCUAUUUUCCUGGCAAUUCUUUCUGAAACAUUUUACCCUUCUACACAAACAAUUCGAUUUUAAAUUACCCUUCUACACAAACAAUUCAGUUUUAAAUUAUUCAGCCAAAUCUCUGUAGUUCUCAUAAUCAUGAGAAUAUAUUAAACGUUAAAGGACCACAUAUUCCUUCCACUUAAAGUAUUCUUCAAACCUUCCUUUAACAUCUCUCACUCUCUUUUUGUAGCUUUGCCCUUUCUAUUGUUUAUACCCCAGUCCACAUUGAGAUAAUUUGUCUUUAUACAAUAGUGUGAGAAUUGUGCUGAGGAGAGGGUACCUCGUCAAAAAAGCACAAACCAAGAAAAGCAGAUGAAUAUGUUUUUGUGAGCAAUCAUGCAAAACAAGACACAUCAUGACAAAGGGCACAAGGGGGUGAGGUAAACCAGGUGGGCAUGUGUUGGGAUAGGACCAAAGCAUGGCACUGACUCUUCAGCAAGCUCUGCACAAAAGAGGGAAGGCAGAGUAUCCAGCAGUUCGCAGCACUAAUACUUGCUGGCCAGAGUGAGUGAAGCCACAUCAUUAGUGUGGCCCUGUUCCCCUGUCCAGGAGAUGUGGCUCUUUGACUGCUCUGUGUGUGCCUUGGAUGAUGAAAACCUUGUCUCUAUCACCCCUGCCCCCAGAAUCGGCUCUUCAGUUUUGACCUGCUAAUCUGAAUUCUCAGUUGUAUCAGUCCUCCUGUCUGAGGUGGCAGAAAACAGAUGACCAAUAACUCAGGAAAGGUACCUGAAAAGGUUCCCCAACACUGUCUUAGAAGCAGAGACCCUUCCUGCUUGCUUCCUUCCUCUCAGCAGUCAUUGUGGAUUGCCCAUCUGCUGGAAGACAUGGGCUCUGCUCUUUCUCAGGGAAGUUCACAUAAAAUUUUAACCCCACUGAGGGGCACAGUCCUUCCCUGUUGGUGCUUCCAUGUAUCUCCAGCUUCUGUAUUUGGCUGUCCUCAGAGUACUCCAUGUCCAUUCUACUGGUGUAAUUCUCCUAGCCCCUGCUGUGUCUCAGCCUAGCCACAACCCCAGCAGCCCUUGAGCCUCAUGGUGCCUCAUUCUUGGCUUGCAGUAACAGUGAUGCCACCUCUCAGCUUGACAGAUGUCUCCUAAGCUGGUUUCGCUUGUUGGUAGGUGUGGCUGCUCUCAAAGCAGGAGGAAGCUGAACCAGCAGCACAUGGACUAAUGAGCAGCACAUGCCCACCUCCAUUCUCAGAGGAUCUCCCUGGAGGGCUGGGUCAGCCCCAUCCCUGCAGAAGGUGCCCCACACAUGGGGCACUCCCGGCCUGUGUCCCCAGGCGUGGCAAUGUGACCUCUCCCUCUGCACACACCUCACAGUCCUGCCCUCGGCACCACUGGCACAAGAGGCCUGCUGAGAAGUUCCCCAGUUUGCUGCUGCCAGGCCCUGGCCCCUGUUAGCUGCUGAGCUAAUGCUCUUGAGCUCCUCAGCUAUUAAACUUGCACAGGUCAAGAUGACAGAUUUUAGUUUUCCUUUUUCUUCUUGCAAGCAAUGACAUAAUGGAACCAAGUGGCUCUUCUGGAAUAAACAAUGCAUAUUCUAGAGAUUACUUGUGUUUACUCUACAUGCAAGACCUCCAAAGAAGAUAAAACUUGAGUUGCAUACUGUACCAUGGAGAUAUUCCCUUUCUUUCAGGAUGCUGGUGUCCUGCAACAUGAUGUCUUAAGGUGACAUACACAUUAAGACUUUUAAACUCCAUAUUUCAAAAUUAAUUUUUUCCUCAUAAAUGCAGAAGAAACAAUAUUUUACCUCUUGCAUCCAUAACUCAAUACCUAUAUAGACAUGUCCAAAUUUGCAUAGCUCACUAUAUAUAUAACACUGUGUAAAAUCUAAAAAGAAAAUGCAAGUCUUUCCUCAUCUAUAGUCUUUUUACAAGGCUUGAUAGUAUUAUGACAUGAAAUAACCAUCAAGCUGGCAGACUGAUGCUUCUUUUUUUAUUCACACACACACAUAAAUGCAGAUGGUCUUAGAGGAGUCUAUCAUCUGGGUGUAUGUAAGACACUGAAAUAUGGAUGAUAAAACAAAAUAGUCUCUAGGGCUUUGUUUAUCACUGUAAUCACAGAUUCUGCUGUCUGAAUUAUUACACAUAGCAAUCACUGCAUGAAAAUCAGAAAUAAAGUCAGGAGCAGAGCCCAGAUUCCAAGAUUUCUCCUUCAAACUGAAGCAAGGAUUUAGGUGCUCUUCAUUCUCUUUCUCUUAUCAGAAAUCACAGCCAGGUAAUCCCCUCAGAUCUUGGGCAGGAUCUGCAGCUCACACAGCCAGCCCUGUGCUUACCCUUCCCUGGAAGGGAAGCCCCCACUACUGCAGCUCAGUGCUUCACCUCCUCACCUUCUGGGUUUGCCCUCCUGAGGUUUUUGCUGGCCCUGUUAGCUGAGUCAGGAAUGAAGGCUUAGAGCUUUAGGAAUGAAUUUUGCUCUGUGCUUGAGAAAAACAAAAGCCCAGCAGUGUUUCAACUUUUUAUUAUAUCUUGUUCUUAAUUUCUUAAUUAAAAAUUAGUAUUAUUGUGUAUAUGAGAUAUGAAGUAUGUUUACAGUGACUGACUUACAAAGUAAACUGAAAUUCAGUGGACCAUAUAGACAAAUCUGCAGUGCCUGGGCAGUCCAUGUCCUUCAGCUCAGAACCUGGAAAACUGAUCUUUGAAUGAAAACACAUUUCAAAACCCAGCACGAAUGACUGGAACUUGAUGCUCUUUGCGUCCCUCCCUCCCAACCUCCCAGCUGUGAAUACAGAAUGAGUUUCUGCUGCUCAGGCUUACCUGACUCUCCCUUUGCCAUGA